GACGGGUGUAUUUCUCGUCCAUGUUGGCGAUCUAUCAUGACUAGAUCUACACUCGUCCG
rnacentral:pre_miRNA from 1 species